rnacentral:rRNA from 1 species
UACGUAGGGGGCUAGCGUUGUCCGGAUUUAUUGGGCGUAAAGAGCGCGUAGGCGGCCUGGUAGGUCUGCUGUGAAAACUCGAGGCUCAACCUCGAGAUGUCGAUGGAAACCGUCUGGCUAGAGUCCGGAAGAGGAGUGUGGAAUUCCUGGUGUAGCGGUGAAAUGCGCAGAUAUCAGGAAGAACACCUAUGGCGAAGGCAGCUCUCUGGGACGGUAUUGACGCUGAGGCGCGAAAGCUAGGGGAGCAAACGGG